GUUUGCUUUCUAACAACAGGGAAGAAAGCCAGCAGCCCUGGCAGACAGGGAAGAGGAUUCAAAGCUGGCAUCCUCUCACAUCCCCCCAAGCACCACACACAACAGUGUUGAGGUUAGUUGGGAUGUAAAGGAAGCUGAAGUGUCAGAAGAGGAAGGAGCUUUUGUGACGAGGCUGACGUGUGAAGUGAGCCAUGGGAACAGAGGAAAAUUCCUGCAACUCCUGGGCUGUGGGAUCCAUCAUCUCCUUGCAUGUCUUGGUCCACAGUUGUAGGUCCUAACAGGAAGUUCCAUCUGUUUCACAUGAAGUUGGCAUAAAAUACAGUGGCUGAAGUGAAAGCUCUGGGGAUAGAUGAUCCAGUUUCAAAGAGAGG
rnacentral:lncRNA from 1 species